GAGAAAGAGAAAGGGUGGGAAAGCGAGGAGAUAAGAAAAACUUCGAAAGAGCUAGAAACAAAUAAAAAGAGUAGUCCCGACGCAAUCAAAAUCUGUGCAUUCACAAUGAAGAGAUAAGAGCGGCACAAAAAAAAGGGAAGAAAACCCGUGAUGUGAUGGGGAGAGUUCCGACAGGUGAGGUAUGCUCCUUUAUCUCUUUCUCUCUCUCUAUCUCUCUCUCUC
rnacentral:miRNA from 1 species